rnacentral:lncRNA from 1 species
AAAAGCAUUACUUAAUUUUUACAUAUCAAACUAAAGUAACCUUAGAUUUGGCUUACAUACAAUUCUCCAAGAACAAAUGGCAUGAAUCCUUUUCCAAGUAUGAGUAAGUGGCUUAACCCUUUCUCACUAUAAUUUAUUAUGCAACUCUUAAAGUAAUUAAUUUGCACAAAACCUUGGAACUAGGCUUAUAUAUUUAUAUAUAUAUAUAUAUAUAUAUAUAUAUAUAGCAAAGAAGAUGACUGUCUCUUUUUAAAAUUUUAAUUUUAAUAAUUUACAAGCAAAAACCUUGAGAAAUUAACACAAUCUAUGAGAAAAAGAAAAAACAAAAAGCAUGAGAAAAAAAUAUGUUUUAGUACUACUCUACAAUAUAGUAUUGAAGGCUGAGUGUUGCAGAAAGUAAUUAGCUAAUGAGUCCUAACAAAGAAAAUACUCAAUUCUGGUCCCUGUGCACCAUCUGGGUUUAUCAUGUAUAAAGCUUCAGAGUCUUUAGACCCAAUCACCCUCUCAAAUCUUGCUCUCAUGUAAGUCAACUCUCCAUCUGCCGUUUCUUUCUGGUCAUUUGGGCCUGGAAGCACUCCUGCUCCCAUUGAAACUCCCCUCAAGACCUGCAUAACAUGAAGCUCAUCAUCCGACAUUUGCUUUCUCCGGAUCGAGUACCCAACUUUUCUUCCAUUGCAAUAAACUGCCCAUACGAACUCCUCCAGCAGUUUCUUCCUAUGCGUCUUUGUUUCGCUCUCCAGCGCAAUCCUGACAAUGUCCGACGCCAUUUCCUUCUGAAGUGCAGUGGUGAGCAUCGGCAGCUCUAUCACGAACAUAGGCACGCAAUGAGGAUCUUCUUGAAUUGCUAGACAAACUCGGCCUUUGCGGUAGCCGAAAAUUGUACCGGUUGUGGCAUUGUCUUUGAGCAUAGGCUUUCUGGGUCUGCCUAACAAAGCAACCAUCUUGCACCCUGAGGUUAACAUGGGGAAUAGCUUGAACAUCUUGAGUAACCCACCGGAGGACUUGGACGCCCGCUUCUCUCCUGGACCAUGGCGGAGGAGGGACAGAAUUGCCGGGUUGUCCAUUUGGAAAAAUGGACUGGAAUGGACAGACGGCAUUUUGGGUACUCCGGUUUUCUUCCUUGGUAAAGGUUUAAGUUGAAGAAGCAAAAGGGUUAUUGAAAUUUGAUUGAAGGAAUCAAAAGAUCAAAUUCAGAGUGUCAAAAAAUGAUGAAGAAACAAGGGCAGAUUGGCGUUUUAAAGGGUGUAAGAGGAGAUAGAUAUAGAAGUUGUAGGAGGUUAAAAAUGGAAAAAGGGAAGGUGGUUGUGUUGUCCUUGGAAUCUUUUGAAGUGGGGAAUUGAAGAGAGAGAGAGAGAGAGAGAGAGAGAGUGUGAACAAGUUGGUUAAGAGAAAACAGAGAAUGAGAUUGAUAAAGACCAUGUUUAGUGAUGAGAUAAGGGAGAAGGGUCACACCACAAGUUGUGGGGGAAGGAGGAGGGAAGGGGGAGAAAAAAAUAGCUCAAAAAGAUUAAAAAAAAAAAGAGAGAAAAAAAAAGUUAAGUGGUAAUGUUUGGUUUAGCAUGUGCAACUCUGAUCAUCACAUACCGCAUCAACAUCAUUUGCUUUAUACUUUUCCAAAAAACCCAUCACAACUCCUCACUAAUUAUUGAAGGUGCACUUCAUCUCUCCCUCAAAACAUCUCCUGUUCAUCCAUCCAUGCAUCCUCUUUUUUUUUCCUUUUGCUUUUGCUUCUCAAACUCUCUCUCUUUGCGCCUCCAUAGUUCAGAGUAAUUGUCAUGUGUUCUAAAAUCAUUAAGAGAUUUUGUUAACUAAUCUAUGUUGUUGAGGUACCUAGAUAGAUUCAUCUAACUUUCUUUCUUUUAAAUCUGUGAGCCCAUUUUGCUUUGUUGGAGUGAAGGCAACAGACAAGUGCAUGUAUUUCUAUAUUUCUUUGUUGUUUGUUGAUUUAUCAAUCUUGAGUUUGGUUUAUAAUUGGGGGGGGGGGUCGGAGGGGAGCAGCAGAAGAAGCAUGCAGUGCGAAGUAGCCGAGAAAAGCUUGCCCUUUUAGCGAUGAGGAAUUGGCGGUGCAUGAAGAGCCACCGUCACGCCUGUGGCACAGCAAAACACACUGUCAAAGAUGUUAGUAACUCUUUCCACGCUCCAUAAAUUAUUUUUAAAAAGUCAACAGUUUAAUAAUUAAUAUCAGAUAGCUAGGUAAAAUAAAUCGAAAUUAAAUAAUAUCAGAUUAUUUACACAUCUAGGUGAAAUAAUUUAAUCAACUUAAUCACUAAUUUUCUACCAAUGAUAAUUUGAUUGACAAAUAUAAAGUGUAAAGAACAAAAUGAUAAUGGAUUUUUUCUAGGAACAUAAUGAUGUGAAUGUAAAUUGUAAAGAAGUAUUCAUUUGCCUGUCUUAAUAAGUGACUCUAGAAAAAUUAUUUCCUAUAAUGGUAUUAUUGCAAUGUGAUGUAAUAUUUUUUUGUUGUGUAUUUAUUAAUUUAUUACUUUGGUAUGAAAAUUUUUAUUUAUCACUUCAGUGUUUAUCAGGGUUCUUGACUUUUUCCAAUAAUGUACAUAAUCUGUUGAACAGAAUGGGGUUUCNNNCCAUUUAGGCUGUUUGGCGGCAUAUGGUUUUUAGCUACAUAAUUAUUUUUUUAGAGUAAAUUUGCUUUUCAAUCACUAAUGGGAAUUUGAUACUUUUAAGCUUUGAAAAUACGAAGAUAGAAACUUUUCCAUAUAAUUUAUUGCAUUCUUUUGGAUUGCUUUUUUAGCCUUUAGCAUAAGCUGAGUUUGACAUUAUAAUAAUUAAAAUUAAAUCAAGGGGUUAAGUAUGGUCUAAAUGAUUAUUUAAGCUUAAACUGGUUUUUUGCUUCCUUCUAACCAUUGUCCGUAUAUUAUUAUUGGGAUUGCGGCCUCAUAGUUGUUGAUUUAUCUACAAUUACAAAUGGGAUUUAGGGGGGAAAAAAAAGGGAAGAAAAAGAGAUUAAGUAUCAUUAAGCCAUGAUUAAUUAAAUAUAAAAAAAUCACAGAAAAAGCUCAACCAUGUUUCUUAGAUGCUGACCCUACAUUUGAUGAGUUAAGUUCAAAUGAUCAAGUAUAAAAUACUCUUAUUCCUUCUUAAAUAUAAAAGAUGGAUAUGCUAAUAUAAUCUUACAUCAGGCUGACUGUCCAGAUUAAAAUAAUCCAAUUAAGUACGAUAAUUAAACUUUAAUUAAAACCCUGCUAAACAAAUUUAAAAGAACAUUGAAAAGUGGGUCAGCUUGUAUAUAUAAUAUACACAUGCUAAAAUAAUGAUUUGGUUGAUAUAUUAUUAACUUUUAUUCAAAAUUUAGUGUAUACUUGAAUCUGUUACUGUAACUUUGAUAAUUUUCUCACACUAUAAAAAAUGUGCUCUGCACAAACACCUGCAUGUUCAUGAAAUUAAUUAAUCACGUAAUUUACUAUUGUAACGAUUUUCACCACUGAUUAUAUAUAGACCUGGUGGCCGAAGCAAAUCCCAAGAACUUGCUUCUCCACGGUUUCUAGGACUUGGAGGAGAAAAUAGAGUUUGAGAAUCUGGCAAUCGUUGGUUAUAGGUGUUUUGAGGGCUGCCGCUAACGACGAAGCCGUCGUAAUUAUGGAGUUCAUUCAUGUCGGAUAACUCUCCUUCUACCAUUCUGAGCAUUUUCCACUUUUCUCCUUCCCAAAUGCUCCCCGAAGAUGUUCAAAUAACCCCCACAUACUUUCUUCACGUAAUCUGAAUCCAGAAGCCUGAAUCGUCUCUAAUAUAUUGAUUCUCGUCGAUGAAAAUAGCGCAGGCCGUCGUGAUACACUGCUUUCCAGAGAAGGGUCUCGUGGAUUAAUCUGAAGACGAGAAAAUUACAGGAGAAGGAGCAUUUCCAGAGGAUGUAGGAGAUGAGUUUGAGCUUGAUGUAUGCCAUGGGGGAGGUGAGAGAAGUAAGAGAAAGAAGAACGGUCGGGAAACUUGUUUUGGGGAUUUGGAAAAUUAAAAGUGUAUUAAAUUUAAUUGAUUUUUUUUUUUUAAAUUUGUGAAUUAGUUUAAGCUAAUUUACAUAUAAAAUUUUUAAAUAUCACACUUCAGAUAUUAGACUAAAUAAUUUUUUUUUUUUAAAAUAUAAUGAUUAAAUUAAUUAAAAAUUAAAAAAGAGAUUAAUUUAUACAAAACUUAAUAAUACAAGUAUCAUAUCAUCAUUUUAGUGUGUGUAUAUAUAUAUAUUUCAACCAAAAAGCGUGCUAAUGAAUUUGAUAUUCCAGCAUGGCUACUAAUAAAACAAUAGUGAAAGAAUUGGUUUCACAUUUAGAUGUUUAUCUCGUAGACAUUGAAGGUGUCUUCUUCUUCUAACUCAUGUG